UGGGGCGCUCAGACCUUCAAACUCUGAGCUUGAGAACGACUCUGUUCCUGGCUUCUGAAAAAGGGGAAGCAUCCUCCCACUGACUGCCAGAGGAGUCAGAGAAGCUGAAGAGCUUUGCAGAGGCCUAGCCUGCCACACCUUCCUACAGCCUGUCUCUGACACUGCCUGAAAGCAGGUGGAUGACACAAGAGUUGGAAGACUUCCCUUUCCUUCCCUUAAGGGCUGAUCUACAAACGGUUGAUGAGUGAUCUCUCCCCUGUCAGAGCUGUUAGGAGAAAAUACAAAUGGGACCCUUGAGAGAAGAGAUGAGUUUUACAUCUGUUGCUGGAUGUGGUAAUUUUGGGUUGAGGAGGUGCAUCUCUGCUGGAAGACACUUAGGCCCCUGGCUCUCAAUCAAAACAGCUCUUCCUCUGGGUGCUUUGUUUCACCCUAGAGACUCCCAGUUGAGAUGUUGGUUGUCACAGAUGUGAGAGUGAAAGCAGCUGAUAGAAGAAGCAGAAUACAGAAACUCAACAGCUAACAUCCCAAACACACUCUAAUUGAAUGAUUAAAAAAAAUAAUAAAAGGAUGCCUGA